NNNNNNNNNNNNNNNNNNNNNNNNNNNNAAGAAGGAGCGGGACUUUCGGCUCAGGCAACUUCUGAUGGAGGCGGCACUUAGCCCGGACACUCCUUCCACGGGCAAGGCCCCGGCGCCUAGCGCCUCGGUGCGCAGUGCCCCGGCGGCACCGGCUAUGCCGACCACGCGAGUGGCGUCGGACAAGCCUCCCCGGCACCGGACCUCGUCGGCACCGCAAGCACAGCAAGUGCCUCGGCGCCGGUCAUUAUCCCCGGGGCAUAAAAAAGCCCAUAAGACGGGGACCUCCGUGCCGAAGACGCCGGCUCCCCCAGUGCCGGGGGUAGAGCCGCGUCCACCGGUGGAGCACCGGAAACAGGUGCCUCCAGCACCGUCGACUCCGGCGCCGAGGCCGUUGAAUCCGGUGCAGAUAGCGUCUCCACUGAGACCGGCGGUGAUACAGUGCCUCCCGUCGACUCCAGAGACCUUCGAGGCGGCGAGAGACUUAAUAGCUCUCACGGAGCCGGCACCGCCUCAACCACCGGCACCGACGGCACCGUUGACUCGCCCGGUCCAGUCGAGGGGGAAACCUGCCUUGAUGCGCCCUCCAUCGCAAGGGCUGGAACCUCGGCACCGGUCCAGGUCCCGAAGCAGGUCCCCACGCCGCUCGCAGUCCCGGCGCCGAAUGUCACCUCGGCACCGGUCGUACUCGCGGCCAAGAUCUUCGUCGUGGCACAGCUCUACGUCUCGGCACCGCUAUGAUCAUCGGCACCGAUCAACGUCGAGACGUAGUUCUCGGCACCGCUACGGCCGACGCUCGACGUCGAGAGGCCGCUCCCGGCACCGGGCAUACUCCAGGUCCUCGUCGAGGUCCAGAUCCGACUCCCGGCACCGACGAGGUCAUCGGCACCGGUCGCGGUCCCGGCACCGAUCGCCGGCACCGCGUAGAGAUAGAUCAUCUCCGGACCGGCACCGUGCGGCACCGCAGCCCACCGGGAUGGUUUCAUCUCUCUCGGCACCGCCAUGGCCGUCAAGAUCGGUGUCUCGCUCCUCGGAGGACCUAUCGAGAUCGGCAUCCCCCCCUCAGGGGAAAGCCGAGGAACAGGACUUGGGCCAUUGGCAGGAGAUAACAGAGGACCAUUCUCAUGGCCCAUCUCACUGGUCGUUUUGGACCCCGUGGGCGUACCAUCAGGCGCAAGGGGCUCCAGUUGCUCCGGUCACUCUGCUAGAAGGGCCCCGGAGUCCACCAUCUCUCGGCCUCCGCCAGGGGGCAUGGAGGCUUCCGUGUCCACGCCACCCGACACCAUGGACCCAAGUGCAGGUGAUGCUCCGGCCCAAGAGCAGGGGGAUCAGGGCCCCCCCGUGGAUCCAGUUCCACCGGAGGCAUCCUCUUCCUCCUCUCCGGAUGAGGCAGUGGCGGGCACUUCAUGUACGGGUCCCCCUCCGAUAGAUCUUCGGGCUCACCAGGAUCUCCUGCGUAGGAUGGCCCGUAAUAUGGACCUG
rnacentral:lncRNA from 1 species